CUCCAUGUAUCUUUGGGAACUGUCAAGUGUGGCAGUCUCCCUUCCUAGCCAUGGAAGAGCACAUUCUUGUUCAUCAGCAAAAGCUGUCACCAUUUAAUUGGUAUCAGAUUCUGACUUGCACAAGUAACAUUC
rnacentral:snoRNA from 1 species